AUGAAGCUGCUGCUCUGAACACGACUGAAGUCCUGAUGAGCUGCUGAUCAAACUCAUUGAUCUCCUCUGGUCUUUCUUCUUCUCUCUGCAGAUGGAAGUGAUGCUGAUCAGGACGGUGUUUGUGCUGAGAGGAUGAAGUGUGUCCUGAUGAUCCAGAUGUUGAAGCAGCAGCAGCUGCUGGUUCCUGGUGUGUAGAAGCUUCCAGAUCAAUAAUAUUCUUUGUCUUCUGAGCUGCUGCUGCUUCCUUGAAAUCCCAGUGAUGAUUUUCAUCUGGACUGAAAUCCAGGACUGAGACGCCCCUCCAGGACUUUCCAGGAAGGAUUCCUGAAGCAGGCUUUGGUGGACGUUUGCUUUGGAUGCUGGUCCUGCUGAAAGUCCAGUGAGCUUCAGUUUCCUCACAUUGUUCUUCUAAGUGUCCUGGUGUUGGAGAGAAUCCAUGAUGCUGCUCACACGCUCCAGUUUAGCAGCUUCAAAGCCACCAACAGGACUGUUGAUGCUGUUCUUCUGGUCCUUCUGCCUCCAGACGUUCUGCCCAAACAGUUCACUUUAGUCUCAUCAGUCCAUCAGACUCCCACAACUCUGCUUUGUUCCACACAUGAAGAGCUUGUUGUUGAGUGUUGUCAGACUUUAUUUGCUGCCUUCAUCAGGUCCUGCAGCUCUUUGUCACCAAACAGGAAGGUUUACAGCAGGUGUUACGGUUUGGGGCAAGAACAAACCCAAAUGAGAGUCGCACAGAGCAGACGGCAGGCAGAGAAUAGAAUAGAAUUGAAUAGCCACUUUAUUGUCAACCAAAACAUAUACUAGUUGGUACACAUUAUAGGCUGAAAUUUUAGUGCAACAAGCUCGCCAUCGGACUGAUGGAUACAAAACUAAACAAAAAUUUUCUAAAUAAAACAAUUUCAACAUAUACAUGUAAACAACUAUAUAAAUACACAUAUAAAUAUACAUAUAGAAAUAUAUACACAAACUUGUAUACUUUUACAAAUAAACUUGUGACUUAGGACUAGUUUCAUGAAUCACAGCUAAAGUUAUAGGGGGAUACACAUUAUUUCAGCCUGAUUGACUGCGCCUGCCAGAAAAUGUAUCCCUCCUCUAUAGUGAAAGUUUCUCAGGUGUCUACAUGUGUAGAACACGUGAUUCUUCAAUCAAUUCUGCAAAUGACACAAGGUUAGCCUUCAGCAUUUUGGAGCAGGUCGAGGAUCGGCAUCAUCAACCUUGAUUUUGUCAAUUAAAAAGAGUUAGCAAUGAAUCCUACAGAUAACAAACUCAUUGUCCAAUAUGAAGCUAAAAAAGAGUAACCCCUCAAAGUUCACCAAGACGGAAAACUUAUUAUGUGGCGACGGGCAUGGGAGAGCUCAGCUGCAGGGGAGAGAGGUGUGGAGGAGUGCGUGGAAGCAGCGUCAGGUUAAUUAACACAGGUGGUAUCAGUUAGGCUGACCUGAUUACCUCCGCAGCAGCAGUCUGGAGCAGAGCAUAAAAGACGGGUGGACAGAGAAGAGAGGAGGUCGGACGAGAGAAGUUACUGAGAGACAGUGGAGGCUGCUUACUGAGCUGCUGUGGACUGAGAGACUGAGUGAUUGAGUAAUGAACUGUGUUUCCCCGACAAACUGACGGUGUGUGUGUAUUGAGUGGACCCGCGGACAACAGAGUUGUUACAUAUUACUAAAACAAAACUUUCAUCUGUAUGACACUGAAGGUAAGACCAAUGACGUCAUAACCAUUUCACAAAUGUGACAGAAUAAACACGGAACAAAUAAAAUUGUCUAAAAUCA